GGGGUGGUCGAUCUCCAGUGCCUUUGGGAGCACGGAGGUUUGAGUAAUUUGGGAUGACUUGCUGGGCUGGGCGGAUAACUCUCAUGCAAGGUCCAGGAACAGGAGGAAGUGGUUGCGAUGGCUCAGCAAAAUGUUGGGGAGGAUAAAGAAUGAAAACAAAGCUUUGAUGGAAUACUCCAAUUCCAGGAGCCAACACUAAAGAAAAAAAAACCCUCCAAGUAACCCCAUAAUUACAAGAUUCCUGAUGAAAUGGAAGACAGGUGAUGCCACCCAGAUCUCCUGCUCACACCCAGCUGCUGCUGGCCAUGGCCAUUCCUGAAGGGAGAGCAUAAAUGAAGGGGAGCAAAUUCUUCUGCAGAUAGUUCCUGUGUACUUUGGCUGAAUCCCUUAAGCUCCCCGGUGCUGCUGAUAUCCAUCUGCAGGAUGGGAGUAAGUGGAUGCAGAAUCUGCAAGCUGCUGUGAGGAUGCACGUGCUGAGAUCCCAAGGAAUGCUGUUGCCAUGGGGUGAGAUGAAUGUAAGUAUGCAAGAGCACUUGCUCUAAGUGCAGCUUUCUCUACAGAAACACUAGACACAACUUUCCUCAAAAAAUCCCAGAGGGAAAUCCUUACAGGAGGAGCAAGUGCAAAUGUGGGAACUGGUUUGGGUCUACAACUUAAAUAAGCACUGCCAAGGAAAUCCAAGCUUCAGAGUUUCGCACUUCACCGUGAGAAAUUUCAGCUGCUGUCAUCACGGACGCUGACCCUCUCCCCUGGGUACCUUCCACAGCAAAGACUAAGGCAACAUGUCACACUCCUAGCCCAGACUUUUAGCUCUCUAGGGCAGGUAAUUCUUAUUUUUAUGACUUCUGGAAAAAUUAGAAAAAUAAGAAGGAAACAAUGUUCCUCUGGCUAUAUGGUUGCUCUCAUUUUCUGAAGCCAUGGCAGGAAAAUCUACACGUGCCAGGAGAACAUACUUCAAAUCCUGUCUGCAUGGCAAACUUCACAUUCUCUUUUGCAGCCCUAAUGCUGCUUCACUGGACAAUCCAUGGUGCAAAGGCUAGAGCAGAGCUGAUAUUUUUUGCCUUUUUAGUGUAGACAUUGAUAUAUAUGUUGAAGAAAUGCUGGACAGUAAGUAGUAAGAAACCAGAAGGGUGACACCCUCUAGCAGGAUCCAAACAGGCAUCUCAGAUAUAGGCAGUUUUCUAAGCUUUGUGAAAUAUGAAAACAUCUACAAUUAUCUUCAGUAUCCUUAAAAAUGUGAUUGUUUUCCAGAUGCUACUUCCUACCCAAUUCUGGUGCUGAUAAAACUCUCACAGGCACUUAAGAACCCCCAGUUUGGGAUAUCCCAUGGCCGUGGGACAUCCAAAACUCCUGUCACAAAACUGGAGCUGGCUCAGUGGGGUGGGAUGGGGGGAUUACUCUGAGAAGCAUCAAUUUCCUCAGCCUGCUUUCCUACAGCUUCAUGCUUUACAUUGAAGACUCUGGUUCCUAAAGAGCCCCAGGUAUUUCACAGGGCUGAUGUCUCUCCCCUCCCUAGCCUGCUCCUAGCCUGCUCUGCGGCGCGAGGGCUGCACGGUGCGUGGGCGGCGGGAGGCUGAGGGAAGCCUGCGGGACCUGACGUGUCUCCCUCAGCUGGCGUGAGAACAGCCUCGCUCACUUGCAGUCAUGAAACGUGCAGAAAUGUGUGUAUCUUUCAGACAUGUACCCUCUGCCAAACUUCAAAAGCCACUGCUGGGGGUGGGGGGCACUGACAGGCACGAACAGCAUAAUUGCACACGCCUUGCUUCCUGCUUUAGGAAAAGAGAAAGAAAACUCCAUUGGAAAAUAAAAAAAUUAAAAAUA